CUGGCUCAGGAUGAACGCUAGCUACAGGCUUAACACAUGCAAGUCGAGGGGCAGCAUGUGGUUGCUGCAACCAAUGAUGGCGACCGGCGCACGGGUGAGUAACGCGUAUCCAACCUUCCCCUUAGUAGAGGAUAGCCCGGCGAAAGUCGGAUUAAUACUCUAUGUUCUUCAAUGCGGACAUCUAAGUUGAAGCAAAGAUUUAUCGCUAAGGGAUGGGGAUGCGUCUGAUUAGGUUGCAGGCGGGGUAACGGCCCACCUGGCCUACGAUCAGUAGGGGUUCUGAGAGGAAGGUCCCCCACACUGGUACUGAGACACGGACCAGACUCCUACGGGAGGCAGCAGUGAGGAAUAUUGGUCAAUGGGCGCGAGCCUGAACCAGCCAAGUAGCGUGCAGGAACCGACUGCCCUAUGGGUUGCAAACUGCUUUUAUCAGGGAAUAAAGUGAGGCACGCGUGCCUUUUUGUAUGUACCUGAUGAAUAAGGACCGGCUAAUUCCGUGCCAGCCGCUGC
rnacentral:rRNA from 1 species